AGCGAACGUUAGCGGCGGGCCUAACACAUGCAAGUCGUACGAGAAUGAGGGGGCAACUCCUCUAGUAAAGUGGCGGACGGGUGCGUAACACGUGGGUAAUCUACCUUCCGGCGGGGGACAACAGUCCGAAAGGAUUGCUAAUACCGCGUACGUCAGCGAGACCUACGGGUCUUGUUGGGAAAGACGGCCUCUUCUUGAAAGCUGUCACCGGAAGAUGAGCCCGCGGCCCAUCAGCUAGUUGGUGAGGUAAUGGCUCACCAAGGCUAAGAC
rnacentral:rRNA from 1 species